rnacentral:misc_RNA from 1 species
GAAGAUGCUUCGGGUGUGGCCCCGGUCUAAGUUCCUUGGAACAGGACGUCACAGAGGGUGAGAAUCCCGUAUGUGACCGGUGGCCUCCCCCGUGUGAAGCUCUUUCGACGAGUCGAGUUGUUUGGGAAUGCAGCUCAAAAUGGGUGGUAAAUUUCAUCUAAAGCUAAAUAUUGGCCAGAGACCGAUAGCGCACAAGUAGAGUGAUCGAAAGAUGAAAAGCACUUUGGAAAGAGGGUUAAACAGUACGUGAAAUUGUUGAAAGGGAAGCGCUUGCAACCAGACUUGCGCGCGGUCGAUCAUCCGGGGUUCUCCCCGGUGCACUCGGCCGUGCGCAGGCCAGCAUCGGUUUGGGCGGCCGGACAAAGGCCUCGGGAAUGUGGCUCCUUCGGGAGUGUUAUAGCCCGAGGUGCAAUGCGGCCAGCCCGGACCGAGGACCGCGCUUCGGCUAGGAUGCUGGCGUAAUGGUUGUAAGCGGCCCGUCUUGAAACACGGACCAAGGAGUCUAACAUCUAUGCGAGUGUUUGGGUGGCAAACCCAUCCGCGUAAUGAAAGUGAACGGAGGUGAGAACCCUUAAGGGCGCAUCAUCGACCGAUCCUGAUGUCUUCGGAUGGAUUUGAGUAAGAGCAUAGCUGUUGGGACCCGAAAGAUGGUGAACUAUGCCUGAAUAGGGUGAAGCCAGAGGAAACUCUGGUGGAGGCUCGCAGCGGUUCUGACGUGCAAAUCGAUCGUCAAAUUU